rnacentral:misc_RNA from 1 species
UCCCCGUUGCCGGGGCAGUUUUAGUAGAAAAAUACAACUACUAACAAGGGUUGCGCUCGUUAAUGGACUUAACCAAACAUCUCACGGCACGAGCUGACGACGGCCAUGCAACACCUGUCACUUGGUUCCAAAAGGCACACUCUACUUUCGUAGUGCUCCCAAGGAUGUCAAGCCCUGGUAAGGUUCUUCGUUUAUCAUCGAAUUAAAGAACAUGAUCCACCGCUUGUGCGGGUCCCCGUCAAUUCCUUUAUGUUUUAGUCUUGCGACCGUACUCCACAGGCGGGAUACUUAACGCGUUAGCUUCGCUACUGAAGGGGUCGAUACCUCCAACAGCUAGUAUCCAUCGUUUACGGCGUGGACUAC